GUGAAAGGGAUGCCACACUAGGGGGAAGAGAGGUCCACCAUGUCUUUUUGAGCAGUUGUGACCGGCCCUGGCUCAGGGGCUGUCUUAUACAGGUGACGCUGAGUGCUGCAGGGGUCCUGGAACAGCACUCUGGGAGCCAUCGGACAGAUACCGAGACAGGAGCGGCUUGGUCUCGGAGCCUCCCACCCCGACUGCUUUGUACUGCAGAUUGAACCCAGGGGUGUUUUACCACUGAGCUACAUCCACAGCCCUUUUUAUUUUGAGACAGGCUCUCACUAAGUUGCUGAGACUGGCAUCAAACUUGUGACCCUCCUGCCUCAGCCACCCGAGUUGCUGGGGUUUCAGGAAUGGACCAUCAGAAGUGACCUUGGGAUGUUCUCCUUCAACAAAGAGUUCCAGUUGACAGACCAGGGGUGGACCUUCAGGAUAGUGCCUAAUCUGACUGGAUCAAUCAACUUUUCUCACACAGGAAGAUGGAACUGGAACUCAGACAUGAUGGCCAUAACUUAGGAUCAUGCACCGAACACAGAGGAGAGAACUGGCAGAGUAGCAAGAAAAGUCCAUUCUUGUGAUAAUUCCAGCCUUGUGCCAGUUGAGCCCUUCAGGAAAUACAGCUACCACCCUGCCUGGGCCUCCCUGGAAUCACCCAUAAAUCCUCUAACAACCCCCUCCCCCAGUUUGGCUUAAGCCAGCUCUAGUAGAUUUAUGCUACUGUGACAAAAGAGGCCUGGCACAAUGGCAGUAUGUGAAAACAAAACAUGCAUUCACCUCCUCAGGCACAGGUACUUUGUGAGGGUGUUUGAACUAGGCUCUUUGUAACUCCAUGUGGUCCUGUGGAGAUUCAUGAGAAUCUGUAUUUCCUGGAAUCCACUUGGAGAAACUGCAGUUUUUAAUUCAAUUGUGAUUUCCCUCCCUCCCUCCUUUCCUUCCAUCUUCCUUUCUUUCCUUCCUUUCUUCCUUCCUUCCCUCCUUCCUUCACUUUCCUUUUCCUUCCUUCCUUUUAUUGUAUCAUAUCCCAGCCCUUUUUAUUUUUUUAUUUUGAGACAAGAGUCUAAGUUGUUGAGGCUAGCCUCAAACUUGCUGAGGUUCCAGCCUCAGCCUCCUGAGUCAUUGUGAUGUAUCACAGUGUCUGGCUAGUUUUUAAGAUUAAAUUCUUUAAUUUCUUGCCUAGAUGGAAGUGAUAUUGCUAUCAACCUAGGGAAUCUGGGAGGUCGGUUUUGAAGGCAUUUUGUCUAGGAGGUGGAUAGGUAUCUUAGUCUGUGGAUAUACAAAACACUCCAGUGAAAUUCAGGCUUAUUGGAACCUACAGAACACACAUUCAGGCCUAAUGGGCCCUUCCAGAUUGGCUGCUUGAAUUGGUGAAACGAACCAGAUCCUAUUCUUUGCCUUCUGAGCUCUGUAGACACAAGGAAAAGGGGGGGGGAGUGUGUGUGUGUGUAUGUGUGUGCAUGUCUGUAUGUGUAAGAAGCAGCAAAUGUACCUUUUAUUUUAGAAACAAAAAUAUCAUUUCUGACCCAACAAUAGCCGGAUCCCUGUGAAUGAAGGGUUUGCAUAUUUUCCUGUUUUAACGGUUCUAGUAUAAACAGCCCAAGCCCAGACCUGACUGUCAGGAGGUCCUGAGCAGCCCAACCAGAAUGCUGGAAAUGACUCUGUGAGCCCUGAGAAUUUAGACCCGGCUUAGUGCCAGGAAUUGGGUUUGUGUUUAACAGUAGCAAUGGGGUCAGGAGUUGAGGGAGAGGGCAAUUGCAGUGAUCCCCAAGACCAUAGUUAACAUCAGAAGCAACAGCAAUAGCCACUGCAGAGGCAGGAGGAGAAGUAAUUACCAUGCACUGAAAUUUUCUUUGUACAGGAACCAGGCUAAAUGUGUGAUUAUUUAUAUAAAUACUUACAAAAGCUUGAUGUGGUAGGCAUUAUUAUUCCAAUUUGUAGAAUGAGGUUCAGAGGUUGAACAGCUUUUCUGAGGUCACAUGACUUCUAAGAGGGAGGUCUAGGAUCAAAUGAAGGCAUGUUUGACUCCUAACACUACACUAAGAAACCCAGGUCACAAACACUAGUUUUUCAGCGGGUGUACAGUGCUUUGGUCCUAGAGGCUGCUAGGGCAAUUCUUGAGAUGCACUGCU